AAACCAACAGGGAUUGCCUCAGUAACGGCGAGUGAAGCGGCAAAAGCUCAAAUUUGAAAUCUGAGGCUCUCAGCCCCCGAGUUGUAAUUUGAAGAUGGUGUUCUGGUGCCGGCGCCCUGUCUACGUUCCUUGGAACAGGACAUCGCAGAGGGUGAGAAUCCCGUGUGGCGGGGCGGCCUGGCUCCGUGUAGAGCGCCAUCGACGAGUCGAGUUGUUUGGGAAUGCAGCUUAAGUGGGUGGUAAAUUCCAUUAAAGCUAAAUAUUGGCGAGAGACCGAUAGCGAACAAGUACAGUGAUGGAAAGAUGAAAAGAACUUUGAAAAGAGAGUGAAAAAGUACGUGAAAUUGUUGAAAGGGAAGGGUAUUGGAUCAGACUUGGUGCUGUGCGAAUAGCGGCUCUUCCUGGGCCGCCCCACUCGCACUCCACCGGGCCAGCAUCGGUUUGGGCGGCAAGACAAUGGCGGGGGAACGUGGCACUGCUCUCGGGCAGUGUGUUUAUAGCCCCCGCUGAUGUUGCCUGCCUAGACCGAGGACUGCGGCUUCUGCCUAGGAUGCUGGCGUAAUGAUCCAACACCGC
rnacentral:rRNA from 1 species